AAGGAGACUCCUCAAUCUCUCUGGGCAGCCUGUUCCAGUGCUCUCUCACCCUCCCCGUAAAGAAGUUCUUCCUCUGCUCAAGUGCACACAGUACUUCAGUAGCACCUUGACUUGUCAUGCAAAUUUCUAGUCUUGCAAACUAUUUUUGCAGCCCUCUCUUCCAGUAUCUGCCCUUACCUUCUGAAUCCCAGCCUCCCCACUCUCACUUUCUAGUGCCCAGGUUUAAAAUACUGCUGCUGUACGCCAGUCUCUAGCAUCUGGGAAAGGAAGUGAGAGAGGAGCACAGAACAUAAUCCAUCCUGAAGACUUGCAUCUUCACUCUCCUGUGGGAACUAUAGAGAGAUCUCUGUACUGCCUGUAUAAGACACUGUUCAAAAGGAGAUCAGCAGCUUUGUAGCCAAGUGUGAAGAUGACAGUGUUGAAAAUGAAGGAGGUACCACUAUAAGGAAUGUGUCUCCAUCUUCUUGAUGAUCACCUUGUAGAUAUGGGAUAGCUGGUGCUAGUUACAACUCCCAAAGAAGGUUUUUCUCCAGAUGCGAAUGGCAAAGUUCACUGAUAGAGCUUUAAACUAGAGAGACAUUUGCAUGCUGGAGUGCUAGGAAGAGUCACAAUUUGGUUGAGAAGUGACAGCCCAGGCUCCAUCUCAUUAGCAAAUCAGCCAGUGAUGCAUAUGGGACAAAGUGUGCUGAUACUUAAGUCUCCAUUAGGUGAGGGCAAAUCAACUAUACUAUAGGGUGAAAGGAUAACUAAAUAUGCUGCUGUAUAAGAAGAGGAUCUGGCAAAAACUGUGCACCUUCCCCUCUCAAAGAGGCCUGUCCCUCAGAGAGUUAAUGAUCCUGCUUUCUCAGGAGGUGAAAAGAUACUUCCGUGUAGCAUCCCAGAAAAGAUAUGGAACUGCCAGGAGCAGCAGAAGACUUUGAACAUCCUCAAGGUUUUGUACUUGUGUUGUCCCCUUAGCACCCGUGACUUGAAUAUAGUCUGGAACUGAUUAACUUCACUUCGAUCUCUGGAAGGGAAUGUUCUUCCAGCAGUUAAAUAUUCUCUCAGCAUUGCACAUGGACCAGACAUUACAGAGGCUAGGGCUGCAUUUGCAUUUUUUCCUCAUGAACUGAAAGAGAAAGGAAUAUCCUCCAGUAUUUCACUGCUGCCAUUUCCAUCCUUCAUGGUAGUGCCAAAUUCAACCUAGCUAUCCUGUUAGCUUCAGCAGCAUUCCCCCAAGCCCUAUGGCCAUGAGAUUUGCAGCUCACACAGCAGGCAGCCCGUGCCGCACACAUGACAAAUACUUUGGUUCCAAAGUACAUCCUCAGAGAACAGCAUGAAUCACAUUUCUGAGAAACACGGUAUCUCUAGCACUUAUAAAUGCCUUUGAGUGGUAUUGCAUUAGGAGAGGUAGAGCUCCCCUACUCCAGCUUUCCACCUGGGGGAUGUCUUCGGGGAUAAAAGUGACUUAGAGAGCACUGCAGUAAAGUGGUUAAACUGGGAAAAUCUGAAGCAUCAGUACAGGCUUUUAGAAGUAUCUCUAACUUCCCUCCAGCUCCUAUCUGCACUACACACUUGUGUGUGUGCCUUUGGCGUGCUGACGCAGCCAACAGGGAAACAUCACCUCCUUCCACUGCUGCCUAACAUCACACUGGGAGUUGGGGCAUUAUGCUGCAGGGGAAGGAGAGCAGAGUGGGCUCUCUGAGUUCUUCCGUAUGAAGCUGAAGAACUCACUGAGGAAGCAGUUCAGCUUAUGAAGUACCCUGAGAGACCUUUCCAUAGGAACUGUGCUUGUGGCUGUUCUAGCUACGGCAGGUCAGGGAGAGCUGCUUGCCACCACAGGACCGGAUCUUCCCCAGGACACCAGCAAGCCAUUGCUGCUGUGUCUGUGCCAGGGAAUAAGGGAGGGAGGUUGGGACGUAUUUUGGCUCUGUACAGGGCUGAGCAAACACAGCAACAUUUGCCUGAUAGUGACCACCUGCCUGUGAAUUGGUGCGAUCUCUGGCCAUGGCGAUCAGGUACCUGCUGCUCCUCCUGGCUCAGGGAGUCUCCUGUUUCCUCUGGCUCAGUCAGGGGCUCUUUUUUUGCCCUCUCUUUCUAUGCAGUGCUCAUCUGUUUGCUUACUAUUUCAGGCACGGGUGACAGCAAUCAAAAAAACAUUCCACUGUACUCAGUUAAUCCAUAGGAAAAUCCCAUGCUGGUACACAAAAUGUGGAGACUAUGCUUACGCAUUCUCCCCCAAGGGCCUUGGGCAAUGGAAAUUUUCUCAAGCUCCAUUCAUUAACAAAAUAGAUGAGCAGUUAUGUAAGAUCAUGUGAGGGAAGUGGUUGGGCUUUGGUCAAUGAAAGAGUUAGUCACACAUCAACGAGCCCGAUGAGCCUGGGAAGAAAUAUGGAGAUGCUUUUCUUAUUCAAGGACUGAAAAAAAGGAGAAUUUUAGCUUCAAAUCUUCAUUUUAUACUAAGCUUGGUGACCACCUUUACAUUCUAGGCAUUGCAGGAGCGCUGUUGUACUUAAGCAAAAGCAGCAUUGAGAUCUGUUGAGAUCUCCCUCUUUUUCCCUUCCCAGGUCUAUCUCCCGUGCUCUGAAAGACUUAGUCAACCACUUCUGACUUGUACUUUUGGGGUGCAAUUGAGGUGCUGUUUCCCACCAGCCCAGCCAGUCUGCCCUGAGAAUGCUCUGGGCGUAGGUAAAUUGAACACUAGUAAUAUUUGGUGGUGGAAAGUGGUGGACUCGAUUAGACGUGAUCUGAAACAAUAUCGUCCCACUCUUCACUGGUUUUCAUGCUCUCUCAGCACUAGGAACCCUGCCAAGUGUCCUCCAGGACCCUGAGCUGAGUUUAACCCUGGCCCUUGGCUCUUCCUAGCUUCUGCUUUGAGGCUUGCAGAUCUGCGACUUUCAGACAAUGAUAGUUUACAGAAGGCAAUCAAAUAAGCUUUGUUGGUUUUUUUUUCCCUUCAUUUGCGCUAAUCCCUGCCUGCUGAAUAACCAGUUGCUUGUGUUCUUUCACCUUGCAGCCAGCCUCCUGAAGGUCGUUGCACUAGCUGAGCAGUGGAACUUGGCUGGCAGCCUCCACAAGACAUGGAGUGGCAUUUGCCUAGCAUGACCUAUUGGGAGCACUCAUGGCCACUCAUGGAGUGCAGAGGAGGCCUCAAAAAGAAACUGAUGUGGGGCAGAUAGGGAGGAUAUAGGCAAUAGGGUAUAGCUGAAGCACUGCUAGAUGCAUGAGGACUGGGAAUAAGUGAGAGCUGUGUCCCUCUCACAUGCACUGAUGUGAGCUGAGGUUGUGAAGCCUUGAAAACCUGCUGCGUAGAGGUGCUCACAGACACAUGCUGUACCUGAUGGCACUGGGCAGGGCAUCCCAACCCCACAUGGGGUAUUCAUGGUGCAUGCUCGGUCCUCAGUCAAAGCACAGUUGUUUCGCCAAGUGGAUGCUUUCCAGAAGGAGCCACAUUCCUGACCAUGGAGAGCUGAAAGGACUGCAAAUGGGAUAUGCCUUAAAAUAGACAGAGAUAUAGGAACAGAGCUCAUUUCCCAGGCAGCGAGGACACGUGCUGACAUCUCAGGCGUUUGUUCAGAGGGAGGGGCUGCUAAAACUGCAGCUGACAGCCUUGGCUGCCAGUGUCACUGGUUGCCUUAGGGCAGUUUUCACUACCUUAAAGGAUAUUUGUUGAGAUUGGUGGGGAUUUUUUUGCUAGUAAGAUUUGUCUCUGCCUCCCUAUAAGGCAAACAGAGUGGGAGAUAGAUUCCCCUUCUACAAAACCAUCGAGGUGUUAAGUAAAAUGAUGUGUCAUGAAUUAGGAUAAAAAGGUUAGAUCUCUACUUUUUCAAAGAACUUGGAAAAAAACUCUCCUUGUUCAAUUGAAAUGUUUUAUUCUAGCAACCUUCAAAUGUUUUCUUUAGAACCAUACAGACAGAAGGUUAGCCUUCUGCUUUUUAAUGGCUAAGUACUGGAAAUCUAUGGUGGAAACCUGUUGACUUCAAAAAACAUCUGAAUGUUAUGAUGCUCACAGGAGGGAUCCCCUGAGUGGUGCUCUUUUAAGUAGUUGUUACACAGUCCCCACGAAACAAUAUACCACAGUGUCUGUUGUUUUUGCAAACAACAGCGUAUACAAAGUAUUGGAUAGUGCUGGGUAGGUAGGAAGAAACAUCCAUGGCAACUCAGAUGUCGCUGAUGGAGAAACCCAAACUCUGGCAGGUCAGAGCACAACAGAAGUGAGCAGAAGAACAAGAAAUCAGCCUUCCCAUACUGCCCAUCUUGUGCUGAGCUCUCCAGCCAGCACAGUCUUACUGCCUUGCAGUGCUGGCUGCAAUGUACGGCACCAGGCGACCGCGGGAGUUAAUUAUUAAACAGAAAGGCGUCAUUGGUCCCCUUGCCACUGCCGUCCCUCCCAUAAAUAUGCUGCGUGAUGGAAGAAUGAUCAUGUGCAAUAAGAACAAAGAAACCUUUUCAGGAUGAGCAGAUUUUCCUUUGCUGGAGAGCUGCUCCCGCUUUGCCUCCCUGGAGCUGGGGGAGUAAUGCGCUCACUCUCCAUAAAGGUGGAGUUCAGGAAAGAAAGAUGAAAAGGACACAAGAGACAGUCACGAUGCUGAUUUCUUUGAAUAAUCUCCCCAGCUGUUAGCCCAAGCCAUUUCCUUAUCAGGGAGUACUGUAAUAGCAGCGUUUCAGAGUCUGGAAGGAAACAUUUUGAAGUUAGCUUUGGCAUUUCAAGGCUAUCACUAUUUUCACCGAGGUUCCCUGGACUUGUAGAUAAAAUAUUAACUCUGGACUGGGUGUAGAGGCCCCAGCAGGCUGUAAAGCAGUGGCACAAGGGAAGUGACAGGCUCUGGUACAGAGAUGGUAACAUAGCAUCCAGGCAUUAAAAACCAGCAUGUGGAUAGUUUCUCCCAACAGACACACUGCUUUUGGCUGUACAUCUUAGAAAAACCAAAUGCUUGCAGAUAAGUUCUGCAGGUGCCAGGCACUCCAGGAUCAGAACCCUUUUCUGAAAUAGCCUGUCACCUUCAUUCUGGAAGGGAACAGUGGAGAGCCACUUCAGUUCCUCUGCUAUGAAGCCUCUCCAGAGCCCUUUGCCUCUGACUAUUCCAAAUCCCAAGGCUGACUGUGGGGCCCAGGAAUCUGGACAAGGUGAAUACAAGCUGCUGCUGGCAUGGUUUCAUUCCUCAGUGAAGCAAGCAAGGGCUUCACAGACAGGGGACACUAAAUCCAUUUCUUUGCCUGUGCUCUGAGCUUGGCAGGUUCACAGUGAACUCCUGAGCUGCCCCUCUCUCCUCUCCCC